rnacentral:lncRNA from 1 species
UUGUCCUGAAUCUUGAACUGUGGGGUUGAACCGGACUGAUUAACCUUUUUUCCAACCGUUCUGUUAUUGGUACAGAUGGUCAAGGAUAGUGUUCGGAUCAGCCGGAUCCUUGUGGUGGUUUUAAAUCGAGAAUAUUUCAGAAGUCGAGUGUGAUUAGCUUGAGCUCGAGUAUAGUCUUUCUUAGCCAAUCUCAUGGAUUUAAAGGUGAGUCUAGAUAGAUGGUUGAUCAAUACUAAAUGUAGAUGAUUGAUAGGCUUUGUCUCUUGAGCAAAUAUUGAAUUGGUGAGGUGUUUACUUAGUGUAAACACUUAAUAAAUUUUAUGAAUGUUCGUAGAGGUUUAUUCCGAACUUAAGUACUUGUUCUCAAG